rnacentral:miRNA from 1 species
CUGUAGUGACUAACAGUGAGGCAG